rnacentral:lncRNA from 1 species
AGUUGUAACAUGGGAAAACCACGGAAAACACGACUUAUUUGAAUAACCCGGUGACCUACCAAUUGUAGAAGUAGGAUUUUUGGCAAGCAAUAAGCACUUAAAUAAUACAAUUCAAGUGUACCAUCUUCUUUCUCAUUUCGAGGAAAAGGUGCGGAAGGAAAAGGAAACAACGGAGGGAUCCAUGAUCUACCAAUUGUAGAAGUAUGAUUUUUGGCAAGCAAUAAGCACUUAAAUAACACAAUUCAAGUGUACCAUCUUCUUUCUCAUUUCGGGGAAAAGGUGCGGAAGGAAAAGGAAACAACAGAGGGAUCCGAAUCGGACCUAAAUGGGAAUGACAUGAAAAGUCUUUUUCAAAACCUAGCAUUAAGGGCGUUACGACGAUAUACGAGAGGAAUAGAGAAAAACUCGUGAUUGGUGUGGAGGGGAAGAUCUGUUUAUGAUAUAGUUCAAGAAAGAGUCGUCUCAUUUCCUUACUUCUUUCUAAUUCAUUCACUUCAAGACUGGUUCUGAACGCCGCCUAACAUCAUCUUCAACCAACCUCCACCGUACUUUCGGUGCGACCACUAAAGAAUUGCUUAUACACUAAACA